CAGGUCACCAUCAAGCAAGUUUCAAAAUGGACCCGUAACCCUUGCAUUGAUAUUAAGUCUGACAAUAAUCCAGGCGAUGCCAAAUUAAAGACUGGCACCAUUCCCAAGGCAAAGGCUGGCACCGGUGUUGGCAAUCCAGUUCGAAAACCUAUUGUUGUUCCAUGUAGACAGACAACAAACCUGCAGUUCCCAAGAAGACGGCUUGUUUUCAUCCACGUGAUACCGAGGUGAAAGCAGAUAGCGAGGAGGUCGAUCCGGCACACAGAACCUUGUUUGAUGAUUAUUGUAUUGAUACAGAUAAUCCGCUUGGUAAAGGUAGCUUUGUCGCUGUGUUUCCGGGGACCAGUAAAGCCGAUGGCAAACCGCCUGGAUCUGGAUUGGUUCUUACAGAACUAGCAGUGUUGCUCAAGUUAAAGGAAAAUCCAAACCCUUAUGUGAUCAAACUUUAUGACAGCUACAGAUGUGGCCUUUAAAAACGCGUGUUUUCUCCCGCGGCAUUCGCCAAUUCGUCUCACAGAGUCUCGCAGAAUUCUGCAAGUGCUUUCGGGGGGGCUACUUUCCCUUUUCCCUUAAAGAGUAACUAAACCCUAAACCAACUUUUUUAAGUUAAUGAUCUGUAAAAAUGAUGCUUUAUUAGUGCUGUUCAUUGAUUUUAGUAAGUUUUUUGACAUUUGGAUAUAAAGUGUUUCAAUACUGCAAUAUAUGGUGUAAAAACGUCUGAGUGCUGCCCUCUUCAGGUUGAACGGUGGCUACUGCAGUUGAAUUUUCCUAUUGGAUGUUGAGUCCAAAAAAUGACUCGUGACGUAAGCAGGUUCAAGCUCACCACGCCCUUGUAACGAUCUCACCACACAUUUGGUACGAGCUUAGUUCGUCCCCUCUAUCUCCUUUGGGAUCUGCCCACUUUUCUUGCAUUUUUCAAAUAUUGCCAGUGGGUGGAGUCAGGCUUUGACCAGGGGUUUAGUUACGCUUUAAUGUGUUUCGCUUCACAGAAUAAUCACCAGGUGGCGCAUAAGUGUAUGCUUUGUCAUUGCGGUUGUUUCCAGAAGUUAAUAAGGGCUUUGCUGAAUAUAUAACAUUGCUAUUAAAACAGCAAAGUGACGUCAACCCCUUCUUGCCAGCAUAACAGCGCAUACAACUAAUAAGACGUGCAAUGCGCAUUUAUACUAAAGUGCAACAGAGACCCUUACGAAAAUAAACCAUGGGUUUAUUGUGGUAAAAGUGUAGUAAUCAUGUUUUUUUUGGUGUAUUGAUUACUAUCGGCAAAACUACGAGUUUACUACACUUACCAUGGUUAACCCUAAUAAGGUUUUUGUACACCAUGGUUGUCAGAACCAUAGUUAUUUUGUGGUUACCAUAAUUUCACUACAGUUUUUUGUUUUUGUUUUUUUAAAUUGUAGUAAAACCAUGGUUAAUUUUCGUGAGGGGAAUUUAGUGUGAGCCUAUUUACAAUGAAUAUCUUAAUUAUAAUUUUGAUACAGUUUUGUUGUUUGUUCAUAAUAUUUAUAAUUAUGUUCGUUUUUCUUAAAGUAUCAAUAUUUUAAAGAGAUUAAUGUGGUAUAAAAAGACAUGUUUUAAAGUUAAAAAAAUGUUGUACAAAAUAUAUUAGUAUUCUUAUAUAUUAAGAAUAACAAUAUGAUACAUUUAUAUUGCGCUAAAAUGGAAAGAGGAAUUCUUCUCAACCACCACCAAUAAAGUUUAAACAUUAUUCUUUAGAAAAAAACGGCGUUUAAACCCGUGGAGCGAACAAGAAAACAUAUGCUUACAUGCUCAUUCGGCAUGUGAUAUCUUUUUUAUUUCGUUUUAUAGUUUUAAAAGUGGCAAAAAAGAUCUUAAAAUCUAAUGAAUACUGUUCUCUGUAAAAUAUAUAUAUAACUGCAGAUGACAGCAGAUUUGAUUCAGUUCACCUACUAAGAAAUUGGAGAAGUGAUGAUUUGUGAUUGAUUGGGGCUAAUAGAAUGACUGCCACACUCAAAAUACACCAAACCAAAUAAGCACUUAAACUAAAGCAAGUCAUGACCAUAACUUUAUUGUGUAUAUAAAUAUAUUAUUGUUUAUAGACGUCAAAUAUCAAACAUCACGCAGGCUUCUACUACUUACAAACAUGGACACGCGGGUGAAGGUUAAUAAAUCUGCCGUUUUCUGAGGGUAUCUGCGUGCGUGGGAUCCGGGCAGGUCUGCUUUUACUCCAGACCUUGACGCUUUGUGUGUUCGACUUUAUACGGUGCGGUGCUGACUGAUCGGCGUAUGACAUCAGAGUACCGCGAGAGCAAAGAUAAAGUCGGACCAUUUUGUAACAUUUCGACUUGCUCUUGCGGUACUUUGAUGUCUUCGCUGCCGAACUGUCUGCGCAGCGCCACAUAGAAACGCCCUUUGACUAUUUACAGCAAAGUACCAGCAACAUGAGAAGUGGUGGCACACAAAAGAAAGUGAAGGUAUGCAAAAAUAUAAAGUGUCAGUACUGCGAGCACCGGUUUAGUUAUUUACAUCGUGUGUUGCUCUUCACCAUUGUGCAGCCGCGCACUCCCUCUGUAGUUUGUAGCUCGCGCUCCGGCUUCUGUAAACAAUGGCCGUUUCUCAAUACCAAGUACGCCAAGUUCGGACUUGCGUCCUUCUUAGUUCGGACAUGCAAGUAACUUAACUUUACCAUCAGUUAAAAGGAUAACAAAUAACAGACUUCAUAUGAAUAAUAAAGAUAAAUAAAUUGAUGAGACAAAAAAAUGCCUGAUAGAUAAGGAAAUAUUUUAUGUUUGAUCAGACACCAAAGGGCAGAGCUAAGAAGCCCGCCUGGUCACCCCUUGGAAAAAAGAAAACAAGAACCUUAAGACAUCAGAGUACCGCGAGAACGAUUUAAAACCAACCUCCUCCGCUUUAUUUCUCGUGGUAGUCUGAUGUCACCUGCUUGUCGGCUCUUGCGGCGCUGCGUAAAGUUGACCACAUCUAAAAAACGUACUGCUAAACUCGACGGAAAUGCUCUGUGUAAGCAUGCACCUCCUUUAUUAAUUGUAUAGCAGGAAAAGUUAUAUAUCUUACUUCUUAGCGUGAGAAAUAGCUUACAAGGUUUGGCGUGUGAGCGUUUGAACUGACAGAAAUGCGUGUGUCUCAUGUUCGGCGAAUGCGUGGGACUUGAGAGCCCAGGUUAUAUCAACAUAUGUCAAAUUAAGUAACCCGAUAUACACUUAAUUUUAUAAGUUAUAAACAUUCAAUUGAAAUAACUUACAGCAUAUGUAGUAGAUUUGCUUAAAUAGCAUUUAAACAAAGGAACUGCAAGGGAAACCCCACACGCUGGUGAAAACUGGAAAAAAAGUUUUUCUUUUGAUUCCCUGAGAGAAGAUCGAUUAGCAUUGGGGGGUGGCAAAGAAUUGGCAGACCUGGGGGUUGGUGGUUUUUAAUUUUUUGAUUCUGUGUGAAUGGUAGCUGCUAAAACUAGCAGCUUAACCAUGUGCAAUUAAUUACAUUUUGGAAUUAACUUGCUUCAUGUCGUUUUAUUUAUAAACUGUAAAAAUAUUUUUUGAAUUUGUAAGAAAAGUUAGCAUUAAAUAUCUUUUACAAACUCUUGGAUGUUUGUAAUUAUCAUCAUUCAGAAAAGUGGUGCUUGUGUUUAGACUUGUGUUUGACGUGAUUUAAUCAGGAAUAUUACAUUGGUUUCUUUUCAGUGUAGAACAGUUUGUCAACAAAAUGCAAAAAUAUAGUAUAUUUAUAAACAUCGCUAAAACAAAGUGAAUUAAAAUGAAAAAAGUAAUAAAGUUAAAGCUGCUGAUAUUUUUGUUUACAUUUACUAGCAUUUGUGAAAAUUGUUUCCUAGCUUUUUUUAAGUAGCCUAAAUUUAUUUCAGUGUAGGUUUCUCAUUUUUAUCAGCUUUCUUUUGCUUUUCAAAGGGCCAUCUAUCUUUGCUACCGCCAGUGCUUUAAGUGGGCCGGUAGGCGCCAGUACUCAGUACCGUUACUUCCAAAUAGCAGCUCUUAAGCGUACCACCACCUCAGCGUGCGCCCGAACGUGCUUUUAGCGUACCGGGACGCUCAUUUGCACAUCUGUUUAAAUCAGAUGUUUAAUUUAAUCAUUUGGCUGCACUGCUGCUUUUCAAAGCGCCCUUCACAAUGCACGCUUCCUAAUUCGUCCCACCGAGAGCAGAGACUACAUUACCCAUACACCCUUGAGUUUUACUAGUUAAAAGCGCAUGCGGCUUGUUCAACUUUAUGCGGCUCCGCAAGAAUCGACAGCAAGAAUCACCAGCCGGAUGAUGUCAAAGUUUCGCGAUAGCGAGACGAAAUAUGAUUUCUUGAAUCAUUCUUGCGGUCCUUUGACGUCAACCGGCUGUCGGUUAAGUCGAACAAGCCUAGUGUUAACAACGUGGUCUGGAGAGGUGUGUGAAACGCGCAACCUAGCUGCUCGGUUAAAAUGAAAAUACUAUGAACACUUAAUAUGCCCUCCUGGUUUUAGACUCUGAGUAGUAAAAGAACAAGGUCAGAAUCAGAGGACUCGCUGGCUGACAUCCCACCAAAGAACAAAGAAAAGGGCCGCACUUUGCAUAUAAAACGUAUUUUUUAUUGGCACAGACGCGUUUCGGCUUUGCGCCUUCCUCAGUGUGCUUAAGUGAAUGAACAUUCCAAACUCAUUCAUAUAUUCCUACCCUUCCAU